CAACGAGAUUCAUAAAAACGUUUUUCUACUAAUAUACUAUAAAUGAAGUUAGCAUAAAAUGAUACGAUUGAGCUAACAAUUUAAACAUGCGACAUUGUUCAACAAAGUCAUAUAUAAAAUUUUGGUGGAAUUAAAGUUUUCAUAAGAUUUAAAAUGAACGAAAUUAAUUACAAUAAUUAUAUAUAAUUUAUAUAAUUAUAUAUAAUAAUUAUAUAUAAAACUUUGGUGGAAUUAAAGUUUUCAUAAGAUUUAAAAUGAACGAAAUUAAUUACAAUAAUUUUUUAUUCUAAAUGUUUUCAUAUCUUACAACAUAAAUAUUUUACUAGUUUUAAUGUACAAAACGUUUUGAAGGAAAAUAAAUAAUUACGGUUUGUCUUUUUUCAUUCUAUUCCAUAAUUUAAAAUUUUUCUCCAUUACGUCCACCUAUGGUUGCUGAGGCAUAAGGUUUCGGUAAGGUUAUAACUUCUUCAGAUAUUUUUUUAAAUAAUAGAAGCUUCUUUUCUUAAUAAAAAAACAUUUUUAAAGAACUAUUAUUAAAUAUUAACGUUUCUUUAGGUGGUUUGGUAUGGAAAUAUAAUGUGAUUAUUGAGCCUGUUAAGGGGAGUUAGUAAUAUUUAGUCCAGUUCACAAUUAUUAAAAUUAUACAAAUUUUUAAAAGUGGCAGUUAAAAAAUUAACUUAUAUUUAUUACAAUAAAAUAUAAAAUCAUGUAUUUCAUGUAUUUGAAUCAUCCAUUAUCAUACUUAACUAAAAUGAGAAAGAAUAAUGUACUGUAAAAGAUGGAAAAAACAAAGUACAUAAACGGUCUUCCUAUUUUCUUAAUGACACAAAUGCUAAAGUGAUUGUUCGAAGAAGAAUAAAGGAUUGUUCGAAGAAGAUUUCACUAACAAAUAAUAAUCAUCCCUAUAAUGACAGAUUUAUAGCGUUGAAUUCAACAAGUUUGAAAAAAAGACGAGAGCGCAGUGGCUUAGUUUAAAUGAUUGAAUUAGGUACCCCAAGAAGUCCUAACGGUCUUGUCACAGAGCAUCGCGGAAGUGCAUUUAACCAGGAAGUUCGUGCCUCCUUCCUUACCAUGACGCGAAAUAUG